UACGUAGGGUGCGAGCGUUGUCCGGAAUUAUUGGGCGUAAAGAGCUUGUAGGCGGUUUGUCGCGUCUGCCGUGAAAAUUCGAGGCUCAACCUCGAACUUGCGGUGGGUACGGGCAGACUAGAGUGUGGUAGGGGAGACUGGAAUUCCUGGUGUAGCGGUGAAGUGCGCAGAUAUCAGGAGGAACACCGAUGGCGAAGGCAGGUCUCUGGGCCACUACUGACGCUGAGGCGCGAAAGCGUGGGGAGCAAACAGG
rnacentral:rRNA from 1 species